UUCACUAUUUAUUCUUUUGAUUAUGUUUUUUUUAAAUUGUUGUGUGAAAUUGUUGUGAAUUUGGGGGAAAUUGUGUGAAAGUGUUGUUCUUGAUUGUAUAAAUUUGUGAUAUUUGACAGAAGUACAAGCCCUAAUCUAUUACGAAAGUACUAAAAAAAUGAAGAGGGUCCGUUAAUUGGGUUAAUUGUGUGAAGAUCUGAUCCUUGAAAUCAUGUUUCGAUCAACCAUAAAAUCAUCAAGAAGGCUCAAUUGAAAUUCAAAGUAAUUAUCUCUUAAUUUUUUUUUAAUUUUCAGGGUUUUAUUUCAGUUUUAGGGUUUUAAUUCCAAUUCCAUUAUUAGUUUUUUAUUUCAGUAAUUGGAAGCUGGGGAAUAAAAUAUAAAUGAGUUCUUAUACUCCAAUUGAUUCAAUUGAUUUAAUUCCUCUUCCUGCUAAUUCCUGUGACUCCUCUUUCCGGUCUUAAUUAGCUAAUUGACUCCUCUUUUUUGACUUUGGGCUAAUUCCAAUUUAUUCUGAAAUAACAGCCACAGAGUUCAGUUUUAGGGUUUUUAUUCUGAUAUGGUAAUUUGUUGAUUUCUGCUCAGUUUCUUCAUAGAGAGCUUUUUAUUCGAAUUGCGCACAAGCUAUUGAACUUGAUAAUGCGUUAUCCAAUUCUGGCUCUUGAAUAAUCAAACGGAACAAAGCCGAGACAAGGGGGAAAUACCAGCAAGUUAACAAAAAAUGUCUAUAUUACAUUUAGAACUGAAUACUGUAGCCAACAACUCCAUCAAUUUCAUGGAAAUAGCCAACAACUCCAUCAAUUCCUCUCCAUCAAACCAAAGAAGUCAAUCUAAGGCAAGAAUUAAGAUCAUUACAGGAAGCUAUGCAUAGCUGUGAAUCUAAACAUGGAGAACAAUAAUAGCGAUCAUGAAGUUAGGCAAGGGACUUGAGGUGAAACAAGAGGAUCAAUUGCCCCAUCUAUUAUCAUGCAGUUUGUUCUGUUUGGUGUGAAUUGUUAUAGGUUAUGAAUUAUUAAAUUGUUUUAUUAUUUAGAUUUUUAAAAUAGAGAUGACUUUUAAUCUCUAUUCUGUAGGUGAGCUUUUUUUCUUACCUAUUAUUUAGGGUGAUUUACUGUAAUAAAUAUAAUCUAGCAUGCAUUGUGUGCAUAUAAAGAAAGAAGGUAUC